GUACAGACUAAAGUCUUCGAGCCGGCGUUUUUGUUUGUUUCCCACUUACGUUUUAAUAUGAGUGGUGUUAGAUUUUAAUAGAAUUAGAUGCAUUAUUAAAUGGUUGUAUUAGUAGCUUGAAACUAAUUUCCCAACUUAAAUAUUAUUUCAUUAAAAUGAAAAUAGUAAAAAAGGAGUUUGAUGGAAGCGAGUUCUUGUUCUUUGGAUGGAUCAGUGUAACUUGAAGAUAUUACUCAUCCCAUAAUCAUAAUCUUUUCUAAUAAUUAUUGUCUAUUCUAUGUAGUAAGAAAUGUGGCAACAAGUGAUUAUUUCUUUAGCUACUACAGUGGAAGUGAUAAGUGUCCUCUUUGGGAACAUCUUCGCCAUUUUAGAAAAGAAAUUACUUUAUUUAAAUUGACAUGAAUUAUAUGUAAUAAACAAUAAGGUAUGCAAUACGGUUAUGUAUAGAAGCAAGAAAAACAUAAUAAUGUCUCUUCACAUGUGUGAUCGUUCACGAAGGAUUCUUCACUCCUGCCAUCUUACGAGUAUCUACAGAGAUUCUUCGAUUGUAUUGAAAUCAUAGAUCGCCUACUAUUAGGCAACCGAAAAGUGGACUGUAUUUGUGUAAAAUAUGAGGGCGAAUCACUAAGUACAGACACAGGGUGCUUAGAAAGUUUUAUGUUAAAUGUAAAUAACAUAUACUAGGGUAUGGGCUUGAAAAAUUCUGAAAAAGCAUAUUCUUUUUUAACGAAAAUAAAUACAACUUAAUUUUAUAAUAAUGGUGUUUAUAAGUCGAUAGGAUUAGAACAAACUUACAAAGUGUAGAAGUGUGGAUAUAUUUUUUACCGUCCAAGAUUAGUUUCAAAUAGGCACUAAGUCAUUAGCUCUGAUUAUGUAAGAGAACUACUGGCCUGUUUGGUGAAGUGCUAUUGGCGAAAGCAGAGGUUUUCAAAUGACAGAACCUUUUUGGCAAGAGAAAUACUUCAUUGAACCCUAAAAUAAAACAAAUAUGUCUUUAUGUGCAUUCUUUAUCAAUCAUUAUAAUAUGGAUAGGUAUCACGUAAAAAAAGGUUGAAGGGUUUAAUGAGAGGUGUGAAACUGUUUCUUGUUUUUUUGUCAAUUGGUUGAUGUCAGGUUUGAUGGGAGAUAGUUGAAGUCUCAUGUCAGGUUUGACGUCCAGUCUAUUGCAGUAUUUCGAUUUAGUAGCUGCAUAGGUUGAAAAUCCUGUUUCACACAAGUGUGUUGUUGGGAUGCUAGACCAAUUCUUCAAAUAUAUCAUCUUGAAACAUUACAUGGUUAUGAUAAAUUCCAUCCGUUCAAUUUUUGAAAGAUAUCCGCCAUACAAGACAGUGGAACAAACAAGUUUUAGCAUAAAAACAGUUUUUCAAAUUAAAAGAAAUAUCUGUUAAGAAUGUUUAUAAUCCCACUCUAAGUUUGAAUAGCCUUGUUAAAAUUGUACCGUGAGAUAACCAUUGCACUUCUGUAUGGAGCAGCAGUGUUUUAUGUUUGCUGCCAUAAUCUGCACAUAAUAAUGAGAAAAAUCGGAAUUGCAGUGGUCGUGAUUUAAUGAAAUUUAUGUUCACUGCUUCAUAGAGGAAUAAUUUUAGAAUUUUCUUUUCGCAACUGCCUGUCUAGGCAGGAUACAAACGAAACGGAUCAUCUGGACUUGAUGAUUUACUAAUUUACUCGACUAAAUUGCAACAAUUGAGAGGCUUCGCCGAGCACAUUUUGAUUAUGGCUGGGCUAUAGUGUAUUUAUUUUGAUGACAAAGAGUUAAUUUGUUGAUAAAAUGGAGCAGUUUGUUCGUGGUUCAUCAGACAUUUUGCCCCGAAUAAAUUCCCUUGCAAUGGCUAGUUAUUUUACCACAAAUAACGAUUUUAUGACUAUUGAAAUCCACAGUUCAAAAGCAUCAAGGUAAUCAGUUCUAAUUGUAUAUCAAUUAUUUUAAAGGUGUUUUGCAAGAAAAGUAUUAACAUGUGAAACUGCACUUUUUAUUGGAGAACAUGAUACAUAUAAUUAACCCACUGAGUCUUUCAUUUCCUCUUCCACUUCAUAUAAUUGUUUAUAUCAGUUUGGGAAUAUGCAUUUAUAUGCAUAUUCAUACAUUAUUGGAAAAUACAGACUCACAAUUUACACAAGAUGUUCUAAUGUUCAUUUUAUCUUUAUAAUAGUAUGAAAAUACAUAAGUUUGAGAAAUUUGUCUUGCCUUUAAUGGCUUUUAUAAUGAUUUAUAUUGAUAUUUGCAAAAAAUAGAGUACCCAUUCCAUGGUUCUGUGUUUUGCUUUCUAAUAUAAUAUGAAAGAGAAACUAUUUAACUAUAAGACAAUAAAAUUUAGCAUUAGCAUAUUCCCACUGCGCUGAGAUAAACUCGAAUUUGGUGAAUAUGAACAAAAAAAAAAUCAAAAAGAUUUUUAAAGAAGAAGGUAGCUUAUAUCGUAAUUUACCACCUUUGAAUAAAAAAUUGCGACUAUUGAAAAAUCUGUAAAAUUAACGUUUAUUUCAAUUUUCUCCCAUGGCAAUUUUUUUUCAAAUUUUUUAUUUCUGGUAAAUUUCGGUAGAAUACAACAAAUCAAAUAAGAAGCACAAAUAAAUAAAAAAAUAUGUCGUUUGGUUACAAAGAAUAACUCAGUGCAGAUUAAAACAUGACAUUUUGAGCAAAAUGUGUUUAAACUUUGAAGAGCAG